AAAGCACUAUAUCCCUUCUAAAAACAGACUCUGGAAGCGAUUUUUGCUAGGAUGAAUGCUACUUCUAUGUAUUUCCCAUCGCAUUUUCAUAAGGUUUCAUAUCCUUCUUUUUCAAUCUUUUAAUGAUGCUUGCCAAUUCUAAUCCAGAGGGAGCACUUAGAUCGUAGAUUUUCGCAAAAUGACCUCGCGUAGCCAGUUCAGGUAUAAAUUUGAAUAGGUUUACCAAAAAAUUUCCCUAUUUUGAGAAGAACUUCAUUGUCGAAGUACUUAAUAGGGAGCCCAGGUAAACGGAUCCAAAGUGCAGUUUUAGUGAUCGUUGCCAAGGAAGGCCUAAAAUCAGGGUGCUUCGAAAAGUGAGAUAAUGGUUUGCUAUCAUCCAAGGUCUCCCAGUAAGAGCUCUUUUGUAAUCCUCCCCAUCAGUUAAGGAUGGCUGGCUUAACAGCAUAGACCAGAAAGAAUGGAUGAUACCCGAAGAUGGUGAAGAGUUACUCGUUUAUCUCUUAAGUAGCAGUGAAUAAUGAGUGAUCUACUUGAUUGG
rnacentral:lncRNA from 1 species